rnacentral:snRNA from 1 species
GUACUUCAAAGUACAUAUACUAAAAUUGGAACGAUACAGAGAAGAUUAGCAUGGCCCCUGCGCAAGGAUGACAGUCUGAGGAAGCAACCCCGAAGACU